UUUUCGGUGAAUUUUUUGUAGGCAUACAGUUUUUGUUUUCCUUUCGUUUAGUUUUCUCAAUAUUCUUAGUAGUAACAUGCCUUUCUGCACUGUCCGGAUGGCUGCCAAUAUAUUCUGAACCGUUCAAUUACGUCUUUGAGGACAAACCAUUAUAUCUACUACGGACGAGGCAUUUAUACCAUAAGAUUGUAAAAGACGCCCAUCGUACAGUUUGAAAAAAAUGCGUAACUUAAAAAAAUGACAUAAAAUUUUCAGAAAACAGACGAGAAAAUGAAACACUUUUGCCACAAAAUGUACACAAUGGACCAGCGGAUAAACUACACUAUCGUACUACACAGCUUUGACCUCCUGUCUUUGCAUGCCUUUGUUUACACUCUUUUGGAAAGUUUGCAAUAAUAAACCUGAUUUUAGAUGUUACUUUUCGCACCGGUGAAGUGAAGCCUUUUCGACUUUGAAAAUUGCUGAAUUCAUUCAUAACCUUUAUGUUGAUAAAAUAUUUUAAAUUUAGCUAUGUAUAUAAAUAAUAAGGAACAAAGAAACGUCUAUUGGGACCAUAAUAAUAGAUUCAAAUCCACACGGCCCGUUAAAUCCUGCAACCUCACGCACUGAUUCGAUAAAAAUAAUGCCACCGAACCCAUUAAAAUUAAGAGUGUAGUUUUCGCGCCGCAGUCCGAGACGUGCCACCAUAUUUGGAGGGCGUGGGAGGAUAGGCGCUCGAUACGGUUAUUGCCCCAAGAAGGUGCUGCACUCUGUACGAGAAACACGGGUUAAUGUGUGUCACAUGUGUGUUCGGAUCGCCAGAGGGGUCACUUAAGGCUGCGAAUAGAUUAUCUCUUUGGGUUACUGAAAACCGCGAGCGGUUAUAUAGCUAUUAGAGGUAUAGAGGCCCUGCUUAUGCCGGUAAUACAGGAACUUCCGAAGCAGCUAUGAAGAAAAACUUAAGAAAAUCCAUUCAUAUGGCCGCUGACAGAUGUUCAGUAACUUUGGAUUCAGCAUUCUGGAAAAACAAGUCUGUUAUAUUUAAAUUUAUUAUAUAUUUAUUAUACCUCACGAGUAGAAUGCCCGACUGUAUCAAGAACUGAAGAUACUUUUAGAUACUUACAAUAUUGACUUAAACGCGUAAUUUUACUAAUUUGAAUUUUUUAGUACGAAUUUAACGUCUAGAAAUCAGAUUCACUCUCGCAGCCUAAGAACCUGUCGGUUGUAAACUACGAUUGAUUCCCUCAAAUCUAGAAUUUUUUAUUUAACCCCAAAAUAGGGGAGAUUUUCUCCAAUAUACAAAUUGAGUGCACAAAGUGAUGAAAAAGUUAAACCCAUUUUAUUAUAAUAAUAAUGAUAAUAAAAACUAAACCUUUGUAACAAUAAUGAGUAAAAAAUGAACCAUUUUAAACGCCUAAAUGGCUAUAAUUCAGCCCCCAAUACAUGAAGCUCCCUGUAUUAGUUGCCGUUAAAGCCAAAAAAGCCUUUACAGAAAUUCAUUAUUAAAGUAAUUACAAAUAUUAUUACAGUACGUACAU